CUAUGUCUUGUCGUUUUCACUUGGUGCUGGUCAUGUGCCUGCUCUUCUUCUACCAGAGAUAUUUGCUUCAAGAAUCAGAGCAAAAGCAGUUGCUUUGUCAUUAGGAAUGCAUUGGCACUGCCUUUCUCCCUACAAGUCAAAUGAAGUGAAGGAAAUUUUCUUACAUUUAUUUUCAGUACUCUUGAGGAGUACCUAGAGGGUGAUGAUGAGCAAGCUGAUGUUGAUUCCAUCGAUGAGCAGACUGAUGGUGGUUCCAUGGAUGUUGACCACGAGGAGGAGGAUAAUAAUAAAGAGAACGCGGAAGAUAAAAAGAAAACACAUAAGCGGACACGAGGCAUAGUGCGAUUGACGAAGAUCAUAGCAGAUAAAAUUAAAGGAAUCAAACGCCAUUUGAGGUUCAAUAGCAGGGGGCAAUCGAUCAGGACCCCAAACAGAGAGCUUCAAUGCUAUUUAGGAAUGCAAGCCAAAAGUAUGGUGCCAAUUAACAUUGACAAUUGGCGCGAAGUUCCUAAAUCUAUAUUGGACAGCUUAUGGAAGGAUGUCAAUCUAGCUUUCCACCUAGAUGAGAAUAUGCGAAAAAAUAUUAUUGGCUCAGUGGGUAAUAAGUGGAGACAAUUCAAAUGUAAUUUGAACAAGAAGUUUAUAGUCCCUUACCUUAAUGACC